UACGAAGGGGGCUAGCGUUGCUCGGAAUCACUGGGCGCAAAGCGCACGUAGGCGGACUCUUAAGUCAGGGGUGAAAUCCCAAGGCUCAACCUUGGAAUUGCCUUUGAUACUGGCAAUCUGGAGUUCGGGAGAGGUGAGUGGAAUUCCGAGUGUAGAGGUGAAAUUCGAUAGAUAUUCGGAGGAACACCAGAAGCGAAGGCGGCUCACUGGCCCGAUACUGACGCUGAGGCGCGAAAGCGUGGGGAGCAAACAGG
rnacentral:rRNA from 1 species